rnacentral:rRNA from 1 species
UGGGGAAUAUUGCACAAUGGGGGAGACCCUGAUGCAGCAACGCCGCGUGAGUGAAGAAGGCUCUUGGGUCGUAAAGCUCUUUCGGCUGGGGAGAAGGGGGUGGAGUGGAUAAUGCUUUAUCUUUGACGGUACCAGAAGAAGAAGGACCUGCUAACUGCGUGCCAGCAGCAGCGGUAAUACGUGGGGUCCGAGCGUUGUUCGGAAUUACUGGGCGUAAAGCGCACAUAGGCGGGCUAGAAAGUCGAUUGUGAAAGCCCUGGGCUAAACCUGGGAACUGCAGUCGAAACGUUUAGUCUUGAGUGCCUGAGAGGGUGGGGGAAUUCCUGGUGGAGUAGUGAAAUACGUAGAGAUCAGGAGGAACACCGGAGGCGAAGGCGCCUACCUGGCGGUGCACUGACGC